rnacentral:tRNA from 1 species
GUUGGCGCUGGUCGAGGUGGCGGUGGUUUCGUUGAGGGCGAUGCGGCUGACGAUCUGCUGGUCGGUGGCGUUCGACAUGUUGGCCUGCC